rnacentral:lncRNA from 1 species
AGGGCGUCGUGCCUUUAUAAGACUGCGUUAAUGUUUCCGUGGAGUUAUCCUUUCCGUUGUUGUUUAUUGCUUGUUAAACAUGGCUUCAUUUGCAAAGGUGGUUGUGUGUGUCCUCAUUGCUUGUGUCUGUAAUGCAUUCGGUUUUCCGAAGAGAGAUGUGAACUUUAAGGCCUCUGCAGUUGACCGCCAAAGUGAUGAUGUGGUUGUCACCACAACACCCGUUCCCCACAACCAGACCACCUCUGCCCAUACUGAAGCUGGUGGUGGUGCAAGUGAAGAUGCUCUGGCUACUACCCCAGCACCUAAUCCACACAACCAGACAACUUCUGCACAAACUGAAGUUACUGAUGGAGCCAGUGAAGAUGCUGUGGACCGCCAAAGUGAUGAUGUGGUUGUCGCCACAACACCCAAUCCCCACAACCAGACCACAUUUGCCCCUACUGAAGCUGGUGGUGGUGCAAGUGAAGAUGCUGUGGCUACUACCCAGCACCUAAUCCACACAACCAGACAACUUCUGCACAAACUGAAGUUACUGAUGGAGCCAGUGAAGAUGCUGUGGACCGCCAAAGUGAUGUGGUUGUCGCCACAACACCCAAUCCCCACAACCAGACCACAUCUGCCCCUACUGAAGCUGGUGAUGGAGCAAGUGAAGAUGCUGUGGCUACCACCCCAACACCAAAUCCCCCAACUACAUCUGACCACACUGCAGCUACGGUAAGGACAUCAGUGCAUGUCUGUUUUGAUGGAACACUUUGAAUGUUUGCGCCCCCCUUUUGACAGUGUCGCUUUCUAUUUGUGUGUAAUCGCAAGAUGAUGCAAGUGAGGGUGCUGUGGCUGCCCAAACUGGAACUACUG